CGUGAACCUUUACUAUAGCUUGACACUGAACAUUGAGCCUUGAUGUGUAGGAUAGGUGGGAGGCUUUGAAGUGUGGACGCCAGUCUGCAUGGAGCCGACCUUGAAUACCACCCUUUAAUGUUUGAUGUUCUAACGUUGACCCGUGAUCCGGGUUGCGGACAGUGUCUGGUGGGUAGUUUGACUGGGGCGGUCUCCUCCUAAA
rnacentral:rRNA from 1 species